UACGGGGGGGGCAAGCGUUGUUCGGAAUUACUGGGCGUAAAGCGCGUGUAGGCGGCUGGCCAAGCGUGGUGUGAAAUCUCCGGGCUCAACCCGGAAACUGCACUGCGAACUGGCCUGGCUGGAGUGCAGGAGAGGGAUGCGGAAUUCACGGUGUAGCGGUGAAAUGCGUAGAUAUCUGGAGGAACACCGGUGGCGAAGGCGGCAUCCUGGACCAACACUGACACUGAGGAGCGAAAGCCAGGGGAGCGAACGGG
rnacentral:rRNA from 1 species